UACGAAGGGGGCUAGCGUUGCUCGGAAUCACUGGGCGUAAAGCGCACGUAGGCGGAUUGCUAAGUCAGGGGUGAAAUCCUGGAGCUCAACUCCAGAACUGCCUUCGAUACUGGAGAGCUUGAGUCCGGGAGAGGUGAGUGGAAUUCCCAGUGUAGCGGUGAAAUGCGUAGAUAUUGGGAGGAACACCAGUGGCGAAGGCGGCUCACUGGACCGGUUCUGACGCUGAGGCGCGAAAGCGUGGGGAGCAAACGGG
rnacentral:rRNA from 1 species